rnacentral:rRNA from 1 species
UACGACUACAUAUCAGGCAUAUCAAUAAGCGGAGGAAAAGAAACUAACAAGGAUUCCCUUAGUAACGGCGAGUGAAGCGGGAAGAGCUCAAAUUUGAAAUCUUCAAGGUUUUACCUUGACGAAUUGUAGUUUAUAGAAGUGUUUUCUGUUAGUGGAGUUUGGUAAAAGUUCUUUGGAAUAGGACAUCAUAGAGGGUGAGAAUCCCGUAUUUGAUCCAUUACUUCCUAGCGUUGUGAUACACUUUCAACGAGUCGGAUUGUUUGGGAAUGCAGUCCAAAAUGGGUGGUAAAUUUCAUCUAAAGCUAAAUAUUGGCGAGAGACCGAUAGCGAACAAGUACCGUGAGGGAAAGAUGAAAAGAACUUUGAAAAGAGAGUUAAACAGUACGUGAAAUUGUCAAAAGGGAAGCGUUUGACACCAGUGUUGUUUUUCCGAAAAUCAAUUACGAAUGUUUUAUUUUUGAGGAGUUAUGACUUCAUCGGCUUGCUCCUUUCUUACGAAACUUUCUUAAUGCACUUUUCGGUUAACAAGUCAACAUCAAUUUCUUUUGUUGUAAAAGGGUACGAGGAAGGUGGCUUUCUUUUCGGAGAAAGUGUUUAUAGCCUUGUGCCUCUGCAAUCGGAGAGAUUGAGGUCUGCAGCGUAGAUCCUUCGGGGUUAGAUACACUUGUGCUAAGUUAUAGCUUUUCAUAGACAACUUGUUGACUAUGUUUAGUCUUGUAGCUUACUCGCUUAUGCUAUUUUACCUACGCUUAGGAUGUUGAAUCUGUGCGAGACUAC